rnacentral:rRNA from 1 species
AUUGAACGCUGGCGGCAGGCCUAACACAUGCAAGUCGAGCGAGCGGCGGACGGGUGAGUAAUGUAUGGGGACUGCCCGAUAGAGGGGGAUAACUACUGGAAACGGUAGCUAAUACCGCAUACUAUCGGAUAACCCAUAUGGGAUUAGCUUGUAGGUGAGGUAAUGGCUCACCUAGGCGACGAUCCCUAGCUGGUCUGCGAGGAUGAUCAGCCACACUGGGAUGUGGACACGGCCCGGACUCCUACGGGGGCAGCAGUGGGGAAUUUUGCACAAUGUGCGCAAGCCUGAUGCGGCCAUGCCGCGUGUAUGAAGAAGUCCCUAGGGUUGUAAAGUACUUUCAGUCGGGAGGCGUUAACGAAAGAAGAAGCACCGGCUAACUCCGUGCCAGCAGCCGCGGUAAUAC